rfam:Dipodomys ordii contig_47691, whole genome shotgun sequence.
GGUGGCUCAGUGGCAGAGUGCUUGCCUUGCAUGCAUGAAGCCCUGGGUUCGAUUCCUCAGUACCA